rnacentral:tRNA from 1 species
UACAUGAAAAUGUGUAAUUUGCAUAUGAGAUUUUGAUUCUCAAAGAGAUAAUUUUUUAUCUUAUGUAU